rnacentral:lncRNA from 1 species
GCAGUGAAGAAUUCAAGUACUCUGGAAGUAAAAAGACAAGAAAACACUUCAGUAAAUGGCUGUGUAUUUUUGCAAGUUAAUUAUUUGGCACAAAUUGGAGUUAAAGACGAAGGAGAUGGUAUAUGUUAUUUACUAAGAAUAGUUUAUUAAAAUGGCCUAGCUGUAAAAUUAAAUUAUGCAGGGAGACGAUAAAAAAUUGGAAUAGGAAAAAUGUUGAUUGCAUAUGCUGCUAUUGAAACUGUGAAGUCAAAUAAGUAUGGCUUAUGCAGA